rnacentral:rRNA from 1 species
CGAUAAGUAAUGUGAAUUGCAGAAUCCAGUGAAUCAUCGAAUCUUUGAACGCACAUUGCGCCCGCCAGCAUUCUGGCGGGCAUGCCUGUUCGAGCGUCAUUUCAACCCUCGACCUCCCCUGGGGGAGGUCGGCGUUGGGGACCGGCAGCACACCGCCGGCCC